rnacentral:rRNA from 1 species
UACGGGGGGGGCGAGCGUUGUCCGAAGUUACUGGGCGUAAAGAGCGUGUAGGCGGCUUGGUAAGUCCGCUGUGAAAGUCCAGGGCUCAACCCUGGAAAGCCGGUGGAAACUGUCAAGCUUGAGUCCGGAAGAGGCGAGUGGAAUUCCUGGUGUAGCGGUGAAAUGCGCAGAUAUCAGGAGGAACACCAAUGGCGAAGGCAGCUCGCUGGGACGGUACUGACGCUGAGACGCGAAAGCGUGGGGAGCAAACAGG